rnacentral:rRNA from 1 species
GAUGAACGCUGGCGGCGUGCCUAAUACAUGCAAGUCGAGCGAACAGACGAGGAGCUUGCUCCUCUGACGUUAGCGGCGGACGGGUGAGUAACACGUGGAUAACCUACCUAUAAGACUGGGAUAACUUCGGGAAACCGGAGCUAAUACCGGAUAAUAUAUUGAACCGCAUGGUUCAAUAGUGAAAGACGGUUUUGCUGUCACUUAUAGAUGGAUCCGCGCCGCAUUAGCUAGUUGGUAAGGUAACGGCUUACCAAGGCAACGAUGCGUAGCCGACCUGAGAGGGUGAUCGGCCACACUGGAACUGAGACACGGUCCAGACUCCUACGGGAGGCAGCAGUAGGGAAUCUUCCGCAAUGGGCGAAAGCCUGACGGAGCAACGCCGCGUGAGUGAUGAAGGUCUUCGGAUCGUAAAACUCUGUUAUUUGGGAAGAACAAAUGUGUAAGUAACUAUGCACGUCUUGACGGUACCUAAUCAGAAAGCCACGGCUAACUACGUG